GAUGAACGCUGGCGGCGUGCCUAAUACAUGCAAGUCGAGCGAACGGACGAGAAGCUUGCUUCUCUGAUGUUAGCGGCGGACGGGUGAGUAACACGUGGAUAACCUACCUAUAAGACUGGGAUAACUUCGGGAAACCGGAGCUAAUACCGGAUAAUAUUUUGAACCGCAUGGUUCAAAAGUGAAAGACGGUCUUGCUGUCACUUAUAGAUGGAUCCGCGCUGCAUUAGCUAGUUGGUAAGGUAACGGCUUACCAAGGCAACGAUGCAUAGCCGACCUGAGAGGGUGAUCGGCCACACUGGAACUGGGACACGGUCCAGACUCCUACGGGAGGCAGCAGUAGGGAAUCUUCCGCAAUGGGCGAAAGCCUGACGGAGCGACGCCGCGUGAGUGAUGAAGGUCUUCGGAUCGUAAAACUCUGUUAUUAGGGAAGAACAUAUGUGUAAGUAACUGUGCACAUCUUGACGGUACCUAAUCAGAAAGCCACGGCUAACUACGUG
rnacentral:rRNA from 1 species